AACGUAGGUACCGAGCGUUAUCCGGAUUUACUGGGCGUAAAGCGCGUUCAGGCGGUUUGGCAAGUCGGGCAUGAAAUCUCUCGGCUCAACCGGGAGAGGUUGUCCGAUACUUCCAGACUUGAGGGCAGUAGAGGGUGGUGGAAUUCCGGGUGUAGUGGUGAAAUGCGUAGAUAUCCGGAGGAACACCAGUGGCGAAAGCGGCCACCUGGACUGCACCUGACGCUGACACGCGAAAGGUAGGGGAGCGAACGGG
rnacentral:rRNA from 1 species